ACAAUGAUUUGAUGAUUAAUGAGGUG
rnacentral:sRNA from 1 species